rnacentral:rRNA from 1 species
AUGGCCUCUCUCUUUGGGCGGUUGCGUGGCGCCUUCACACUGCCACGUCGUUUUCAGCUCAUACUGAUAAACCAGUACACCGAUGUUGAGGCCCAAAGAGUUGCUCAUCUCCUCAACUGCUCUCUAGGAUCCUCCCCUUUCAAAUACCUUGGCCUCCCGAUAUCUCCCCUCAAACUCUUGGCUAGAGAUUUUGCUCUAGCUGUCACUAAGGUGAGAAAUCGGGUCCUACCUUGGAGAGGUUGGUACAAUAACCAAGCGGGCAAGGUUGCCCUUACCAAUGCUUGCCUCUCCUCCCUCCCCAUGUUCCUGAUGGGAUUCUAUCUUCUCUCUGGAGGGAUCCAUGCUGGCUUUGACAAGCACAGGAGUGCCUUCUAUUGA